AGAUAAACUGUGCAGGUGAGACACCAUGAUCAUGAAGGCAGUUCUCCCAGGAUGAGACUUGUCCCUUGCACUCCAGUCAGGCUGACCCCUGCGAGCUUCCCUAAAUGCAGGAAACUCGGCUGCACACUUUUGUGGUAAUGGGGGACUGUGUUCAUGCUUCCCCCAU
rfam:Alligator mississippiensis ScZkoYb_201.1, whole genome shotgun sequence.